rnacentral:rRNA from 1 species
AGCGAACGCUGGCGGCAGGCCUAACACAUGCAAGUCGAACGAACCCUUCGGGGUUAGUGGCGGACGGGUGAGUAACACGUGGGCAGGUGCCUUUAGGUUCGGAAUAACUCAGGGAAACUUGUGCUAAUACCGAAUGUGCCCUUCGGGGGAAAGAAUUAUCGCCUUUAGAGCGGCCCGCGUCUGAUUAGCUAGUUGGUGAGGUAACGGCUCACCAAGGCGACGAUCAGUAGCUGGUCUGAGAGGAUGACCAGCCACACUGGGACUGAGACACGGCCCAGACUCCUACGGGAGGCAGCAGUGGGGAAUCUUGCGCAAUGGGCGAAAGCCUGACGCAGCCAUGCCGCGUGAAUGAUGAAGGUCUUAGGAUUGUAAAAUCCUUUCACCGGUGAAGAUAAUGACUGUAGCCGGAGAAGAAGCCCCGGCUAACUUCGUGCCAGCAGCCGCCGUAACAC